GGUAGCUUGCUACCUGAUUCAGCGGCGGACGGGUGAGUAAUGCCUAGGAAUCUGCCCGAUAGUGGGGGACAACGUUUCGAAAGGAACGCUAAUACCGCAUACGUCCUACGGGAGAAAGCAGGGGACCUUCGGGCCUUGCGCUAUCGGAUGAGCCUAGGUCGGAUUAGCUAGUUGGUGGGGUAAAGGCUCACCAAGGCGACGAUCCGUAACUGGUCUGAGAGGAUGAUCAGUCACACUGGAACUGAGACACGGUCCAGACUCCUACGGGAGGCAGCAGUGGGGAAUAUUGGACAAUGGGCGAAAGCCUGAUCCAGCCAUGCCGCGUGUGUGAAGAAGGUCUUCGGAUUGUAAAGCACUUUAAGCUGGGAGGAAGGGCAGUAAGUUAAUACCUUGCUGUUUUGACGUUACCAGCAGAAUAAGCACCGGCUAACUUCGUGCCAGCAGCCGCGGUAAUACGAAGGGUGCAAGCGUUAAUCGGAAUUACUGGGCGUAAAGCGCGCGUAGGUGGUUCAGCAAGUUGGAUGUGAAAGCCCCGGGCUCAACCUGGGAACUGCAUCCNAAACUACUGGGCUAGAGUAUGGUAGAGG
rnacentral:rRNA from 1 species